AUGCAAGUCGAGCGGACUUAUUCGGGCAACUGGAUAAGUUAGCGGCGAACUGGUGAGUAACACGUAGGUAAUCUGCCGUAGAGUGGGGGAUAACCCAUGGAAACAUGGACUAAUACCGCAUAUACUCUUGACACAUAAGUGUAGUAGAGGAAAGGAGCAAUCCGCUUUACGAUGAGCCUGCGGCCUAUUAGCCUGUUGGUGAGGUAAAAGCUUACCAAAGCUACGAUAGGUAGCCGACCUGAGAGGGUGACCGGCCACAUUGGGACUGAGAUACGGCCCAGACUCCUACGGGAGGCAGCAGCUGAGAAUCUUCCACAAUGGACGAAAGUCUGAUGGAGCGACAUCGCGUGAGGGAUGAAUGCCUUCGGGUUGUAAACCUCGGAAAUUAUCGAAGAAUGAGUGACAGUAGAUAAUGUAAGCCUCGGCUAACUACGUGCCAGCAGCCGCGGUAAUACGUAGGAGGCAAACGUUGCUCGGAUUUACUGGGCGUAAAGGGUGAGUAGGCGGAACUAUAAGUCUAAGGUGAAAGACCGAAGCCUAACUUCGGGAACGCCUCGGAUACUGUGGUUCUUGGAUAUUGUAGGGGAUGAUGGAAUUCUCGGUGUAGCGGUGGAAUGUGCAGAUAUCGAGAGGAACACCUAUAGCGAAGGCAGUCAUCUGGGCAUUUAUCGACGCUGAAUCACGAAAGCUGGGGGAGCAAACAGGCUUAGAUACCCUGGUAGUCCCAGCCGUAAACGUUGCACACUAGGUGCUUCUAUGAUAGUAGGCGUGCCGUAGCUAACGUAUUAAGUGUGCCGCCUGAGGAGUAUGCCCGCAAGGGUGAAACUCAAAGAAAUUGACGGGUCCCCGCACAAGUGGUGGAGCAUGUGGUUUAAUUCGAUGAUACGCGAAAAACCUUACCUGGGUUUGAAUUGU
rnacentral:rRNA from 1 species